GACGGCGAGGCUGGCCGUUGUCACUGCCACCCCUUUUGCAGUGGAAUCCUGCAGAAGCUGUCACUAUUAAAUCUGUUAAUUCAGUACUCUUUGCAUUGUCGCUUCUGAAACGAUUAGAACUCCCACGUUCUAGCCUUCUCAAUAUUCAUGAUGCAAUGUAUGAGACACUCUCUUCGUGCUAUUCCUUUCAUUCAGCUAUCAUUUGUGUGUUUCUUUGUUUGCAGGAGUAGAUCUGUAAGUAUGUGGGUUUUCUUCUGUUUAGAUAAAUAUGCUUUUUCGAACCACAGACUCUUGCACUGGAUUACUACAGUGAUACUGACUUUAAUCAGUGUAGUGCUGUGUGCUCUUAGCUUUGCUCAUCCUGAAAAUUGCAGAAAAUUAUUCGCAAAACUUUAGAAUGCAGUUGAUUAAAUGCUUAGGAAUGUUUCUUUGUGGUUUACUCUAUAUCAAAUUGGUAUCCGUGCAUUCUUAUGUUCACAGUAUUAGAGCAUAGACAACGUUAAUAUCCUUGGUUUUUUAUUAGUAUUUUUCAUGAACCAGUAACUCUCCACAGCUUCUUCUUUUUUUUUUCCUUUCUGAAUUAGUGUAAA
rnacentral:lncRNA from 1 species